rnacentral:tRNA from 1 species
UUAGCAAAAGCCAAAAACAAUAGGCAAAUUACUGUUAAUAAUUAUUUGGAGACUUACCCUUGUUAAG